AGAGUUUGAUCAUGGCUCAGAACGAACGCUGGCGGCGUGGAUAAGACAUGCAAGUCGAACGCUCAUUUGCCUGCAGCAAUGUGGGUGAGUGGGAGUGGCGCAAGGGUGCGUAACACGUGGGUAAUUUGCCGCGAAGUUGGGGAUAACUCGCUGAAAGGCGAGCUAAUACCGGAUUGUGAUCACUUGGUGGCAUCAUUGGGUGAUUAAAGUUGGGGACCCGCAAGGGCCUGACGCUUCGCGAUAAGCCCGCGGCCUAUCAGCUAGUUGGUGAGGUAACGGCUCACCAAGGCUAAGACGGGUAGCUGGUCUGAGAGGACGACCAGCCACACUGGAACUGAGAGACGGUCCAGACACCUACGGGUGGCAGCAGUCGAGAAUUUUUCACAAUGGGCGCAAGCCUGAUGGAGCGACGCCGCGUGGGGGAUGAAGGGCUUCGGCUCGUAAACCCCUGUCAUUUGCGAACAAACCCUCACAUUAAACAGGUGUGAGGUUGAUUGUAGCGAAAGAGGAAGGGACGGCUAACUCUGUGCCAGCAGCCGCGGUAAUACAGAGGUCCCGAGCGUUGUUCGGAUUCACUGGGCGUAAAGGGUGCGUAGGUGGUGGGGUAAGUCUCGUGUGAAAGCUCGCAGCUUAACUGCGAAAAGUCACGGGAUACUAUCCGGCUAGAGGCUUGGAGGGGGGACUGGAAUACUUGGUGUAGCAGUGAAAUGCGUAGAUAUCAAGUGGAACACCAGUGGCGAAGGCGAGUCCCUGGACAAGACCUGACACUGAGGCACGAAAGCCAGGGGAGCAAACAGGAUUAGAUACCCUAGUAGUCC
rnacentral:rRNA from 1 species